rnacentral:rRNA from 1 species
UACGUAGGUGGCAAGCGUUGUUCGGAAUUAUUGGGCGUAAAGGGCGCGUAGGCGGCCUGUUAAGUCGGUUGUGAAAGCCCGGGGCUCAACCCCGGGCCUGCAUUCGAUACGGGCAGACUAGAGUUCGGUAGGGGAGUCUGGAAUUCCUGGUGUAGCGGUGAAAUGCGCAGAUAUCAGGAGGAACACCGAUGGCGAAGGCAGGUCUCUGGGCCGAUACUGACGCUGAGGAGCGAAAGCGUGGGGAGCGAACAGG